AUUGAACGCUGGCGGCAGGCCUAACACAUGCAAGUCGAGCGAGCGGGAGGGGGGAGAGUAAUGCCGGGGAAUUUCGCAGGCGAGGGGGAUAAACGGUGGAAAGGACCGCUUAUCCCGCAUACGAUUUGAUUGCCCAGGGGGGAUGAGAUAGUUGGUGGGGUAAUGGCUCACCUAGGCGACGAUCCCUAGCUGGUCUGAGAGGAUGAUCAGCCACACUGGAACUGAGACACGGUCCAGACUCCUACGGGAGGCAGCAGUGGGGAAUAUUGCACAAUGGGGGAAAGCCUGAUGCAGCCAUGCCGCGUGUAGGAAGAAGGCCUUCGGGUUGUAAAGCACUUUCAGCGAGGAGGCGUUACUCGCAGAAGAAGCACCGGCUAACUCCGUGCCAGCAGCCGCGGUAAUUC
rnacentral:rRNA from 1 species